AAUAGAUACCCUGGUAGUCCACGCCGUAAACGAUGUCAACUAGCUGUUGGGUUCCUUGAGAACUUAGUAGCGCAGCUAACGCGAUAAGUUGACCGCCUGGGGAGUACGGCCGCAAGGUUAAAACUCAAAUGAAUUGACGGGGGCCCGCACAAGCGGUGGAGCAUGUGGUUUAAUUCGAAGCAACGCGAAGAACCUUACCUGGCCUUGACAUGCUGAGAACUUUCCAGAGAUGGAUUGGUGCCUUCGGGAACUCAGACACAGGUGCUGCAUGGCUGUCGUCAGCUCGUGUCGUGAGAUGCUGGGUUAAGUCCCGUAACGAGCGCAACCCUUGUCCUUAGUUACCAGCACGUUAUGGUGGGCACUCUAAGGAGACUGCCGGUGACAAACCGGAGGAAGGUGGGAUGACGUCAAGUCAUCAUGGCCCUUAGGCCAGGGCUACACACGUGCUACAAUGGUCGGUACAGAGGGUUGCCAAGCCGCGAGGUGGAGCUAAUCUCACAAAACCGGAUCGUAGUCCGGAUCGCAGU
rnacentral:rRNA from 1 species